UUUUAGCCCCGAUGGUAACGAUAUCCUGUUGUGGUGGGGUUCACCACAACAGAUAAAGUGUACAGCGGGAUUAGCU
rnacentral:sRNA from 2 species